UACGAAGGGGGCUAGCGUUGCUCGGAAUUACUGGGCGUAAAGCGUGCGCAGGCGGUUAUGUAAGGCAGAUGUGAAAUCCCCGGGCUCAACCUGGGAACUGCAUUUGUGACUGCAUAGCUAGAGUACGGUAGAGGGGGAUGGAAUUCCGCGUGUAGCAGUGAAAUGCGUAGAUAUGCGGAGGAACACCGAUGGCGAAGGCAAUCCCCUGGACCUGUACUGACGCUCAUGCACGAAAGCGUGGGGAGCAAACAGG
rnacentral:rRNA from 1 species